AAGAACUCUCCUCUUCUCCAGUACGAUCCCCGCCAGGCUCCUCAUACACAUCCGCCAUUUCUUUCGAUUUGCCGCCGGCGAAGGACGACGUCUCUGUGCCCCAUCAGGAAACUAAUCCUCACGCUAUCCCAGAUCCACAUGUCGCUUCUUUUCUCCUGAUUUUUCUUCCUUGGUGGUGGCACAUGUGGCUGGGUGAGUGCGUGGAUCUCGGUGAACUCGUCGACUCUGGCAACGUGGUCACGGAGAUGUCCAGUGCGGACGCGGGUUGCGCUGCUCAAACUUGUCGUGCCCGGAGGCUCUGGAUGUUGGGGUCGCGGAGGCAUUGAGGGAGCUCGCAGAGGAAGAAAUAUCUGCAAGACAUGAGUAUCUUCUGUGAAUGGCUGUUAGCUGUUGCCCUCCUGCUGCCCGGACUUCUACCAAAUCACAAAGGGCCACUUUGAGUCGCUUGGUGACAUAAUGAUUAUAGGAGCAUCACCUCCAAACCUACCUUUAGUUUUAGCUCGUGGAUUGGAAUUCCUGGGAAGAUCAUGUUGCUAAGGAACUCUGUUGCACACAUAUUCUCCAUUAGUGUUGUAAUUCAUUGUUUCAUUGCACACAGUGUCCAAGUAUAGGAUUGCUCUUUCUUUGAGAAAUUCACGGUUACGAUAGUUUUGCUGCAAGUUUGGAUUGUAAUAUCCAUUCUGCAAAUUCGGCCACAUUUUGCUUUUCUAUUGGAUCUUCUAACAGACUUUAGCCGCAUGUUUUCAGUUAGUCUAAAUAUUUCGAAGUACUUCCAUAGGAGCCUCGUCCCAUAGUAUCAGUGAGGUCUUCUUUACCAGUUCAGCCAAAUGAGCAAAGCUGCAACGCCAGAUGAUGCUAACACAAGCACUUUCUUUCCCUCUGACCGUAGCUUCCUUGUAAUUGCUUUCCAUAGAUAAGUUUUGCCUGUGCCACCGUAGCCUUCUACAAAUAUCUGUUUUCCAAGUCCUUUCGCAGCUGAUUCCAUUAUUGCAUCAAAGGUCAUUUUCUGGCCAUGGUUAACAUUGCUUAUUAUGGUUUGGUGCUCAUUCUUUAGUGCCUCCAUGUCAUAGCUAAGUUUUUCGUUUAUCAUUCUGUUCCCAAGUUCUUCAAGUUCUGUAGCAUUUGGUAGUUCUGUGUCUGGAUAGUCCUUUAGUGUCUUUCCUGCUUGCCUCAUUAGUUUCUCUAUCUCAAUCAGAGCAUAUGCCUUUUUCUAUGAAUCAGUGAGCUGCAGCAUAGAAAAGUUAAGGAUAAUUCUUCUUUUGUACUGGAUAUCUUUAGACAGUGCCUCCCAUGUUGAUUCCCUCAACAUCUUUGGGUUGGUCACCUCACAAUGGCAUAAAAUUGUGGUGAAUAAUUUUCGUAAUUGUGUCCCUGAGCCCCAGCAUUAUGCUUCAUUGAUGCAUUCAAUCCACUCACUGUCGUCAUCAUGAAAUCCAAGCGCUUGGCAUUCUUAUUUGUAUGUUGGGUGAAUAGCUCCAUUAACAGUUCCAAUAUCCUGAAUUAUGUGCAUCCUUUCUCGGUGUUUAGAAGCAUUCUCAUAUAAUACCGGCUGCCACUUGCAGAGUGUGCAUAGUAGAUUCUUCCAAUAGCGAAGCCCCUUCUCGGCUCCCCAAGUCUUCGUUUCGCUUUUCCAUACAAAUUUUGAUGGGAAUUCUGCAUAGUCUCUCGACUGGUGGAUCACGAUGGUGUAGAUCAAACUGGAAUAUCCGCCAGUAUGCUUCAGUUGUUGAUAUGUAUCUCAUCUCUAGGUAGUUGAUUGACCUGGGCCUGUUGCACCACUCGACAUUUAUGUGAGCUUGGAAUUGACCAAAAGGUUUCGGUUGUAUGGCCAAAAGUGCUUUGGCGUCACUUCUUCCGAGGUCGAUUGGAGUAGCUGGGCAUGGCUUCGUCAUGCGUUGAGUGUGCUUUGGCGUGACUUCGUCGGACGUAGAGUGAAACGGCUGGAGGUGGCUUUGCGUAUCAAAUGUCGAGUGGCCCAGUUGCGUGUGAUGUCUUCAAGCCAUCUGAGUUGCCGAAUCGCAUGUGAUGUCUUCAAGCCAUCUUGGUUGCCGACUUCUAAAUUUUUGGUGUGUGCUUCUGCGGCCGGCUGUACUUGUUUAUAUAUGGAUGGAGGUGCGUGGGUUGAGGUGGCCGAGACCGUGAAAGCAGAUCGGAAACCUGUCUUUUUUUUCAUGUCUUGGUUCCUGUUUUGGAACUUCCUCACGUGAGGUCUGGUUAGGUCCAAUCGUUGUCCUUAUUUGUUUAGGUUUCCUACUAUUUUUGCUUCCUUGACCCAUUGAUUAAUUUUUUUUUCUUUCUACGGGCUAGUUGACGAUUCGGAUGGAACCUAUGUGCACUAUUUGU